UGUAUAUCUUGGAGGAAAGACGAGACAGGGGGGAUAUGAUAGAAAUAUUUAAAUACAUUAAGGGAAUCAACACAGUAAAGGAGGAGACCAUAUUUAAAAGAAGAAAAACUACCACAACAAGAGGACAUAGUCUUAAAUUAGAGGGGCAAAGGUUUAAAAAUAAUAUCAGGAAGUAUUACUUUACUGAGAGGGUAGUGGAUGC